rnacentral:lncRNA from 1 species
AGGAAAAUAUAAUAGUUUUAGAUAAUAAUCCAAUAUUUAUAGAAAAAUAAUACAGAGAGAUACGAAAUCUGAUAAAAAUAGUCCCAUAAGAUCUGGGGUCACGAGUCUAGAGCCUCUAAAACAAACUGGAUAAUAAUAUCUAAACGAAAAUACCCAAGUCUAGAAAUAUAUAUAUAGAUAUAUAAAACUGAAUAAGGAAGAGUAGCCAGGUCCGGCAAACGUCAAGCAGCUACCUCAACAACUCUGAUAAUCUCUGGAGACAACGUCUGCUCACCUAAGCCUCCGGUACACCUGCAUCUACACACAAGGUGCAGGGAGUAGGGGUGAGUACUAUCGACUCAGUGAGUAAUAAGCAUAUAAAUUGUCUGAAGGUAAGAAAUCCAUGAAAUGCCACAAAGUAAAGCUAAAACUAACAGUCAGACACCUUAACUACAAACCAACAGCAAAGCAAUAUCAAGUAUAUUGUUCAAGUAAAAUGCAAGAAUCAAUGCUAUUCACAUGAACCCGUUGCGGCGUACAGCGCGAUCCAUUUAACGUCGACGACGCUCAUUGGGGAUGUCUACAGACGCUGGAGGGGAUUCUACAGCCCAAGCGCAAUAUCAUCAUAUCACUGCUACGGCGUGCAACCCGAUCCAUACUCAGUCCACAGUAUGCAUAUGAGUCACAUAACAGAUUCAGUUUAUUUUCCAUUUCUCCAAUUAUUAAGAAGGAUAUAAUUUAAUUAUUUAAUUUCAGAAAAAAAAGUGACUUUGCAUCUCAUAACACUGAUUAAACACAAAACUGAGAUCAAUGAUUAUACAAACCAUACUAUCACAAUGAUAUUCAUCCUCUAAGGAUGCUACAGAUCGGCACAAGGCCCCAAACAUGGCAAUAAGCCCAGAUAUAAUUAAUACAGGGUGCGUUUCAGUUGCCAAUAUAGUAAAAUUCUUGUUCGGGAUGGACCAAGUCAAAAUCCCCAGUCAUAAACAACCCCGCACCUGCCAUGGGAUGCGAGUCACGCCCUAAUAUAGCGUCACAAUGUGAUAUACCGCGGUUUCAAACCCUCAGACCAUCAUCUAUACAAACUACUCACUUCUAACCGACCGUAGACUGUCCGCAAUGCCUUUUCCUCAUGUAUCAACCUCCUCGUGUGUCGAAUCUAGUCAAAAUCAUAACGAAUAUAAAAAUAUAGGCUAAAGAAACAUUAUCCGAUAAAAAAUACUCGAAAAGUACUAAAAUUCACGAAAUUGGUAAAACCCGAGCCUCGGGCCCACUUCUCGAAAUAUUCCAAAAAUCACGGUAACAGAUUCCUCUUCUCGCCACGUCCGAACAUAUAAGGUUCACAAAAACUGAGUUCAAAUGGCCUUUCAAUUCCCUAAAAUUUGUCUUCAAAAACCAAGCCCUAGUUCUUCACAAUUUCAACCACUUUCAUGAAUUUAAGUAUUAAUUCUUCACUAAAAUGGUGAUUCUAAGUCAAGAGACUUACCUCCAAUAAAUACUCAUUGAAAACCCUCCACAAAUCGCUCAAAACGCUUUCUUGGCGGAGUAAAAAUGGUGGAAAAAGUGUUGGGUUCGCGAGUGAAAUAUCCUUAAAACCAUUCUGCCCCGCUGAACCUCCCUUCAUCGCAAACGUGAUGGACCCUCGUGUCCGCGAUGGCCAAGAAUUAAACUGGGACAUUUUGCUCUUCGCAAAAAUGGGCCUCUGCCGCGAACGCGAUGCACACAGGCCAGGGGUCUCCUAAUCCCUUCUACGCAAACGCGAAGGCCAAGGGCCUCAGGCCUACACGAACGCGUCCUCCCUUUGCGAACACGAAGCCUAAAACCCUAGCCCUCCUAUUUCCUUCUACGCGUUCGUGACAUACCCUUGCAAACAAGAAGCACAAAGUUCUGCAACACCAACAACGGAAAACCAGCAAUCCUCUAAAUCCAAAAAUAGCCCGAUUGACCAUUCGAAAUCACCCCGAGGACCUCGAAACCUCAACCAAAAGCACAUAUAUGCUCUAAUAUCUCAUUCAAAGUUGCUCGAGCCAUAAAAUCACUAUCGUAAACACCAAAAUCAUUGAAUUACUACGGAUUCAAGCCUAAGUUAAACUAAAUCUUCUAAAACUUGUAUUUGAUCAGAAACCCGACCAAACGAUGUCCGAAUGAUCUGAAAAUUUGCACGUCUAUCCCAAAUCACCUAACGGAGCUGCUGCAACUGUCGGAAUUCCAUUCCGACCCUCGGAUAAAAAUCUCACCUAUCAACCGGAAUUCGCCAAAAUUCAAACUUAGCCAAUUCAAGCUUAAUUCUACACCGGACCUCAAUAUUCAAUUCUGAUUGCGCUCCUAAGUCAUAAAUCAUCACUUGAAACUAGUCAAAUCAUCGGAAAUCCAUUCUGAGCCCUCUAACAUAUAAGUCAACAUUCCGUUGAAUUUUCUAAACUAACCUUCUCAUAAAGAGACUAAUUAUCUCAUUUCUAACCGAACUCUAUCCGAAUUAUUUCAAAUUCUCCACACACAUAUAAUGAAACAUAUAUAAACAUAAAACGGGAAAAACGAGGCGGUAAUUCAUGUGACGACGGCCCGGGUCGUUACAUCCUUCCCAACUUAAACAAAUGCUCAUCCUCGAACGGGUCAAGAAGCAUACCUGGAGUCUCAAAUAACUGAGGAUAUUUGUUGCGCAUCUCCUGCUCGGUCUCCCAAGUGGCCUCUUCCAUGGGCCGACCUCUCCACAACACCUUCACCGAAGCUAUAUCCUUUGAUCUCAACUUUCGAACCUGACGACCCAAAAUGGCCACUGGCUCCACAUCGUAGGUCAAAUCCUCGUCCAAGUGAAUCGUGCUGAAGUCUAACACAUGAGACGGGUCCCCGACAUACUUCCGGAGCAUGGAAACAUGGAACAGCAUAUGAACUCCUGACAAGCUAGGUGGCAAAGCAAGCAUAUAUGCCACAUCCCCAAUCCUCCUAAGUAUCUCAAAAGGUCCAUUAACCUUGGACUUAGCUUCCCUUUCUUUCCAAACCUCAUAACGCCUUUCAUAGGCAAAUCCUUCAACAAGACCUUCUUGCCCACCGCAUAAGAUACAUCUCGAACCUUUCGGUCCACAUAACUCUUCUGACGCGACCAAGCUGUACGAAGUCUCUCUUGGAUCACUUUAACCUUCUCUAAGGCAUCCUGGACUAACUCUGUCCCCAAUAAUCUAGCCUCACCAGGCUCAAACCAACCAACCGGAGAUCUACGUCGUCGCCCGUAUAAGGCUUCAUACGGCGCUAUCUGGAUGCCGGAUUGAUAGCUGUUAUUGUACGCAAACUUCGCAAGUGGAAAGAACUCAACCCAAGAACCUCCAAAAUCAAUAACACAGGCAUGCAACAUAUCCUCCAAUAUCUGGAUAGUAUGCUCGAACUGUCCGUCCAUAUGAGGAGGAAAUGUUGUGCUCAACUGUACCUUUAUGCCCAAAUCCUGAUGAAAAGUUCUCCAGAACUGGGAAGUAAAUUGAGUACCCCUAUCUGAGACAAUGGAAACCAGGACCCCAUGCAACCGUACAAUCUCCCGGAUAAAAAUAUCUACUAACUUAUCCACAGAAUAAGUAGUACAUACCAUAAUGAAGUGUGCGGACUUGGUCAGCCUAUCCACAAUCACCCAAAUCGAAUCAAACUUCUUUGAGGUACGAGGAAGACCACUCACAAAAUCCAUAGUGAUAUUCUCCCAUUUCCACUCCAGAAUAUCCAUCCGCUGAGUACACCACCGGGUCUCUGGUGCUCAUAUUUGACUUGCUGACAAUUGAGACACCAAGCCACAUAAUUCACAAUAUCCUUUUUCAUCCUCAUCCACCAGUAAUGCUGUCUCAAAUCCCGGUACAUCUUCGCGGCACCCGGAUGAAUCGAAUAACGCGAGCUGUGGGCCUCUUCUAAUAUCAACUCCCGGAGCCUAUCCACAUUGGGCACGAAAAUCUGGCCCUGCAUCCGCAACACACCAUCAUCUCCAAUGGUCAAAUCUCUGGCAUCAUCACGCUAGACCCUGUCCUUCAAGACAAGCAAAUGCGGGUCAUCAUACUGGCGCUCUCUGAUGCGAUCAUACAAAAAAGAUCGGGAAACCACACAAGCCAACACCCGACUAGGCUCGAAAAUAUCUAACCUCACCAUCUGAUUGGCCAAGGCCUGUACAUCAACUGCAAGGGGCCUCUCCCCAACUGUAAUGUAUGCCACACUACCCAUACUAAUAGUCUUCCGGCUCAAAGCAUCGGCCACUACAUUGGCCUUCCCGGGAUAAUACAAAAUGGUAAUAUCAUAGUCUUUGAGUAACUCAAGCCAUCUCCGCUGUCUCAAAUUAAGAUCCUUCUACUUGAACAAGUGCUGAAGACUACGAUGGUCCGUACAUACCAUACAAGAAAAAUGGUAAUAUCAUAGUCCUUGAGUAACCCAAGCCAUCUCCAGUGCCUCAAAUUAAGGUCCUUUUGCUUAAAAAGUGCUGACAGCGAUUAUCCGUAUACACCUCACAAGAUACGCCAUAUAAAUAGUGCCUCCAAAUCUUCAAGGCAUGAACGAUAGUAGCCAACUCUAAGUCAUGAACAUGGUAGUUCUUCUCAUGGGUCUUUAACUGACGAGAAGCAUAAGCAAUCAUUUUACCCUCCUGCAUCAACACACGGCCGAUCCCAACUCUCGAAGCAUCACAAUACACCGUAUAAGAACCUGAAGCUGAUUGACAAACUAGUAUCGGAGCUGUGUUCAAAGCCGACUUGAGCUUCUGGAAGCUCUCCUCGCAUUCAUCCGACCACACAAAUGGAGCAUNNNNNNNNNNNNNNNNNNNNNNNNNNNNNNNNNNNNNNNNNNNNNNNNNNNNNNNNNNNNNNNNNNNNNNNNNNNNNNNNNNNNNNNNNNNNNNNNNNNNNNNNNNNNNNNNNNNAUCAACUUCGUCAAAGGCGAAGCAAUAGAUGAAAAGCCCUGAACAAACCUGCGGUAAUAACCCGCCAAACUGAGUAAACUCCGAAUCUUAGUAGCUGAGGAUAGUCUAGGCCAAAUCUGCACCGCCUCGAUCUUCUUUGAGUCCACCUAAAUACCAUCACUGGACACCACGUGUCCCAGAAAAGCCACAGUGCUAAGUCAGAACUCACACUUGGAGAAUUUCUCAUAAAGCUUCUCCUCUCUCAAUCUCUGCAAUACCACCCUCAAGUGUUGUGCGUGCUCCUCCUGGCUNNNNNNNNNNNNNNNNNNNNNNNNNNNNNNNNNNNNNNNNNNNNNNNNNNNNNNNNNNNNNNNNNNNNNNNNNNNNNNNNNNNNNNNNNNNNNNNNNNNNNNNNNNNNNNNNNNNNNNNNNNNNNNNNNNNNNNNNNNNNNNNNNNNNNNNNNNNNNNNNNNNUCAAGAUAUCAUCAAUAAACACGAUCACAAAAGAAUCCAGAUACGGCCAAAAUACAAUGUUCAUCAGUUGCAUGAACGCGGCUGGGGCAUUGGUCAGCCCGAAUGAAAUCACUAAAAACUCAUAGUGCCCAUACCUCAUCCUGAAAGCCGUCUUCAUAAUGUUUGAAUCCCUAAUCUUCAGCUGGUGAUAGCCUGAUCGGAGGUCAAUCUUAGAGAAUACCUUUGCUCCCUGAAGCUGAUCAAAUAAAUCCUCACUACGGGGUAGUGGGCACUUGUUCUUCAUUGUCACCUUGUUCAGCUGUAUGUAAUCAAUGCACAUUCUCAAGGUUCCAUCUUUCUUCUUUAUGAAUAAGACCGGUGCACCCCAAGGUGACACACUCGAGCGAAUGAACCCCUUAUCUAAGAGUUCCUAAAGCUGCUCUUUCAACUCAUUUAGCUCCGCUAAUGCAUACGAUAGGGAGGAAUAGAGAUAGGCUGAGUGCCUAGCACCAGAUCAAUACCAAAAUCAUUGUCCGUGUCCUGCGUCAUGGCCGACAAGUCCGCUGGAAACACAUCGGGGAUAUCCCUCACAAGGGGAAUCGAACCAAGGCUAAGAGCCUCAGCUCCGACAUCUGUCACGAAAGCCAAGUACGACAAACAACCUUUCUCAACCAUCCGUUGAGCUUUUAGGAAGGAAAUCACCCUGCUGGGUACAUAAUCAGUCACGCCUCGCCACUCGAUCCUCGGAAUACUCAGAAUAGCUAACGUAACUGUCUUGGCAUGACAGUCCAGAAUAGCAUGGUACGGAGAUAACCAAUCCAUACCCAGAAUCACGUUGAAAUCUACCAUGCUCAAUGAUAACAAGUCAACUCGGGUCACCAGACCCCCAAUAGUCACCAACAGGAUCGAUAUACAUGACCCAUAGGCAAGGGAAGACAACCACGGGUCGUACCCAAGUGAUGGGCAAAAUAUGAAGAUAUCUAGGAAUAGGUAGAUCCGGAAUCAAAUAAGACAGAAGCAUCCUUGUGGCAGACUGAGAUAAUACCUGUGAUGACAACAUCCGAAGCAAUAGCGUCCCUCCUAUCUAAAAGAGCAUAGAAUCGAGCCUGACCACUACUAGUACGGUCCUCACCCCUGCGGCAACCUCUGGCUACUUGGCCUCCACCCCUAGCUGAUUGAGUGGGUGCCAAAGAAACUGGAGCAGAAGACGAGGGUUGAUCCCUCUGCUGAGACAUCCUACUAUGGAGCCGAGGGAACUGUCUCCUCAUAUGACCCAACUCACCGCACUCAUAACAAUGACCUCAAGAUGGAGAAGGGGACUGAUGAGAACCCCUCGCUGCAGAUGAACCCUAAGCUGAAGAAGCAGAAGCAGAGCUCUGAGCUGUAAGGCCGCUCAGUGCAGGCUGGCUCUGCUGAUGUCCCUGAUGACCUCGGCCUGAAGAGGCCCACUGGACUAUGUACCACCUAACUGAGGAGACCUGAAGGAACGUCCUCUACCAUGUUAGAACUGGCCCAUAGUCGGAGCACUGCUGAAAUUACCUGAACCUCGAGGCCUCUUGGCCUCCAUCUCCAUACGCUCCCAACGGCAAUCUGUCUCAGUCAGUCGAGCGGCGUCAACUACCUCCUCAAAUGUAGUUGUUGAAGCCCUCUCUCUAGUCAUCAAUAUGCGGAUCGGGUAGUUGAGGACAUCCACGAACCUCCCGGUCCUCUCUCAUAUUGUCAAGAUCAUCCAAGUAGCAUGCCAAGCUAGCUGUGUAAACCUCAACUCAUACUAAGUCACUGUCAUAUCUCCCUGAGUCAACCACUCGAACUGAUGAUGCAGCUCCUCCCUGUGAGACUGGGGCACAUACUUCUCCAAAAAUACCGUGGAGAACUGCCGGCAAGUGAGGGGCGCUGCCCCAAUAGGCCUAUGCCUCUCGAACUCUUCCCACCAAGUAAAUGCAGCUCCUGUGAGCUGAAAAGUGGUAAAAGCCACUCCAUUAGACUCCACCGAAUGAGGGGUGCUGCCCCAAUAGGCCUACGCCUCUCAAACUCCUCCCACCAAGUAAAUGUCGGCCCUCUAAACAAUAAGGUAGUAAAAUCCACUCCACCAGACUCUAGAAUAGCCGUAAUAAGAAGCAUACGAUGGCACUUAUCCAUUAAACCCCGGGCAUCCUCACCCUCAACACCACUGAAUGUUGGAGGCUGGAGUCUACCCAACCUGUCCAAAUGAUGUUGCUAGUCAUCCGGCAUUGCUGGAACCACAUGAGCUAGAGCUGGUCGACUGGCACAACUGGAACAACUGGUGCAACUGGAGCAACUAGUGCAAUUGGAGCCACUGGAGCAACUGGAGUCUGCAAUCCCUGGACACCCUGCUCGGCUGUGCGAGCAUCGGGGGUCUGACGACAACCCCCGGUUUGAGAAGUAGUCGAUGCUGUAGCGGCUGAAACCUCCUGAGCCAUGCUAGUACAUAUGGACAAGAUCUAAGCCAAAGCCUCCUGGAGACCAGGAAUCACGAAGGGAAAUGUCGGUGCCUGAACAGGUGCUGAUGGAGCUGCUGAUGGAGCAUCUAUAGCUGGAGACUGGUCCUGAACCUGGGCAGCUUGUGGGUCUGCAGGUGCUGCCCCUGCUGGUCCGCCUUGACCAUCACCACGACCGCGUCCACGGCCUCUAGCAGGUGGAACUGGUGGUCGUCCGCCACGUGCGUUAGCACGGGUUCUCGCCAUCUGCGAGAGAAUACAGAAAUUUAGUUUUCAUUGCAACAAGCCGCACGAUAUGAAUUUCAAGAAAGUGAAAUGUUUCCUAAAGGUUCUGUAGCCUCCCGAGGAUAGAUACGGACAUCUACGUACCGAUCCGCGAGACUUUACAAAACUAUCUCAUAACUCGUGAGGCCUAGUAAACCUAGGCUCUGAUACCAACUUGUCAUGACCCCAACCUGGUCGUGAUGGCGCCCAUCACAUUACUAGGCAAGCCUCAUUUACCCAAUAUUCCGAGCUAUGAGCUCGCAUCCUUAUUUCACAAAUCAUUUACAGCGAAAAACGCUAGGCAAACCUGACCAACAAUCGCUCUCAAUUCGACUAUAAAUCUCAAAACCGACAAUUUAAGGAAAAUGUAAUAGUUUUAAAAUAAUAAUCCAAUAUUUGUAGAAAAAUAAUAUGGAGAGAUACGAAAUAUAAUAAAAACACUCCCAUAAGAUAUGGGAUCACGAGUCUAGAGCCUCUAAAACAAACUGAAUAAUAAUAUUUUAGCGAAAAUACCCAAGUCUGGAAAUGUAUAUAUAGAUAUAUAAAACUGAAAUAGGAAGAGUAUCCAGGUCCUGCGAACGUCAAGCAGAUACCUCAACAACUCUGAUAAUCACUAGAGACAACGCCUGCUCAGCUAAGCCUCUGGUACACCUGAAUCUGCACACAAGGUGCGGGGAGUAGGGGUGAGUACUACCGACUCAGUGACUAAUAAGCAUAUAAAAUGUCUGAAGAUAAGAAAUCCACGAAAUGCCACAAGCAAAGCUAACACUAAUAGUCUGACACCUUAACUACGAACCAACAACAAAGCAAUAUCAAGUAUAUUGUUCAAGUAAAAUGCAAGAAUGCAAUUCUAUGCACAUGAACUCGAUGUGGCGUACAACCCGAUCCAUUUAACGUCAACAGCGCUCACUGGGGGUAUGUACAGACUCCGCAGGGGCUCCUACAUCCCAAGCGCAAUAUCAUUAUAUCACUGCUGUGGCGUGCAGUCUGAUCCAUACUCAGUCCACAGUAUGCAUAUGAGUCACAUAACAUAUUCAAUUUAUUUUCCAUUUCUCCAAUUAUUAAGAAGGAUAUAAUUUAGUUAUUUAGUUUCAGAAAAAAGUGACUUAGCAUUUCAUAAAAGUGAUUAAACACAGGACUGAGAUCAAUGAUUAUACAAAUUAUACUAUCACAAUGAUAUUAAUCCUCUGAGGAUGCUACAGAUCGUCACAAGGCCAUAAACAUGGCAAUAAGCCCAGAUAUAAUCAAUACAGGGUGCGUUUAAGUCGCCAAUAUACUAAAAUUCUUGUUCGGGAUGGACCAAGUCAAAAUCCCCGAGUCAUAAACAACCCCGCACAUGCCAUGGGAUGCGAGUCACGCCCUAAUAUAGCGUCACAAUGUGAUAAACCGGGGUCUCAAACCCUCAGGCCAUCAUCUAUACAAGCUACUCACUUCUAACCGGCCGUAGACUGGUCCGCAAUGCCUUUUUCUAUUGUAUCAACCUCCUCGCGCAUUGAAUCUAGUCAAAAUCAUAACGAGUACAUUAUAGGCUAAAGGAACAUUAUCCAAUCAAAAAUACCCGAAAAGUACUAAAAUUUAUGAAGUUGGUAAAACCCGAGCCCCGGGCCCACUUCUUGAAAAAUUUCAAAAAUCACGUCAACAGAUUCCUCGUCUCGCCACGUCCGUACAUAUAAGGUUCACAAAAGACGGAGUUCAAAUGGCCUUUCAAAUCCCCAAAAUUUGUCUUCAAAAACCAAGCCCAUGUUCUUCACAAUUUCAACCCACUUUCAUGAAUUUGAGUGUUAAUUCUUCACUAAAAUGGAGUUUCAAAGUCAAGAUACUUACCUCCAAUCAAUACCCGUUAAAAACCCUCUUCAAAUCGCUCAAAAAUCUCUCUUGGUGGAGUAAAAAUGGUGAAAAAGUGUUGGUUCACGACUGAAAUAUCCUUAAAACCAUUCUGCCCCGCUGAACCUCCCUUCAUCGCGAACGCGAUGGACCCUCACGUCCACGAUGGCCAAGAAUUAAACUGGGACAUUUUGCUUUUGGCGAACGCAGGCCCCUAUCGCGAACACAAUGCACACAGGCCGGAUGUCCCCUAAUCCCUUCUACGUGAACACGUUGCCUCCACGCGAACGCGACGGCCAAGGGCCUCAGGCCUACGUGAACGCGUCCUCCCUUCGCGAAUGCGAAGCCUAAAAUCCUGGCCCUCCUAUUUCCUUCUACGCAUUCGCGACAUACCCCUGCGAACGCGAAGCACAAAAUUCUGCAACACCAACAGCAGAAACCAGCAAUCCUCUAAGUCCAAAAAUAGCCCGAUUUACCAUCCGAAAUCACCCCGAGUCCCUAGGGACCUCAACCAAAAGCACAUAUAUGCUCUAAUACCUCAUUCAAACUUGCUCGAGCCAUAAAAUCACUAUCGUAAACACCAAAAUCAUUGAAUUAUCACGGAUUCAAGCCUAAGUUAAACUAAAACUUUCGAAACUUGUAUUUGAUAAAAAACCCGACCUAGACACCUCCGAAUCAACUGAAAUUUUGCGGACAAGUCCAAAAUGAUAUAACGAAGCUACAGCGGAUUCAAGCCUAUGUUAAACUAAAACUUCCAAAACUUGCAUUUGAUCAAAAACUCGACCAAACGAUGUCCGAAUAAUCUAAACAUUUUUACGCAUAUCCAAAAUCACCUAACGGAGCUACUGCACCUGUCAUAAUUCCAUUCCGACCCUCGGAUCAAAAUCUAAGCUAUCAACCGGAAUUCGCCAAAAUUCAAACUUAGCCAAUUCAAGCCUAAUUCUACACCGGACCUCCAAAUUCAAUUCCGAUUACGCUCCUAAGUCAUAAAUCAUCCCCCAAAUUAGUCGAAUCAUCGGAAAUUCAUUCUGAGCCCUCUAACUUAUAAGUCAACAUUCGGUUGACUUUUCCAAACUAACCUUCUCAUAAACAGACUAAUUGUCUCGUUUCUAACCAAACUCUAUCCGAGUUACUUCAAAUUCUCCAAACACAUAUAAUGAAACAUAUAGAAACAUAAAACGGGAAAAAUGGGGCGGUAACUUACGUGAUGACGGGUCGAGUUGUUACACUUGUUAACGUUUUUUGAUUAGUAGCAUACUAGAAAAUAUAAUAGUUUUAUAAGAUAUCAAUAUAUUUUUAACAAUUAUUUUUUAUGCCUAGCAAAUAAUGAGAAAUACUUAUAUAUUGGUUGGAGAAAGUAAUUUACAGUAGCUAUAGCAGAUAUGACUUGCACUCAUAAAGUAAAAACUUUCAUUUGGUGUAAACUAUUUACUAAUUAUUUAAUAAUUUAAGUCAAACAUUAGAAAGGAAUUAACAAAGUAAUUAUACACCAUGCAAACCAAGGCCAUACUAUACAAUCAAAUUUAUCAUGAAAAUCAUAUUGUGUCGCUUUGAAAUUAUUUUCUUUCUAUAAUUACAUGGAUAAAUUACAGUUCUAAACUUAAAAGAAAAGAACGAAAGAAGAAAAAGGAGCUAAAUGGUGCGGGCCAGGGUAUGGUAGGUUGAAAAAAAGAAAAACGGUUUAAACAGGGGCUGACAAGGCGGGUUGAAUUUAUAGUAGAGCAAUGAUUCACCCGCUCUGGUUUGUACUAUCCAGGAGCGGACUCAAGAUUUGAGAAUGAUGGGGGCAGUGAAUUACUCAAAACUUUAUUAGCUAAUAAAAGAAUACAUAUAAACUCUAGGAUAGACAAGUAAAUAAACAACAUAAUUCACUAUAUAUUAUAAACUUGUUAAGCAAAAAACUACAAUAAAGUAAGAAGAGCUUACGCUUUGAUUUCAUCAUACUCCCCAGUUGACCCGCGAACACAAACUUCAACUUCAUCAUAUUCCCAAACUCACCUACGAACACAAAUUUUAAAAUGUGUAUUCCAAAAAAAAAAUCUUGCACAUCAUUGCGCACGCAUGAACUAAACUGGAAUAAACUUUAAAAUAUAAAACAAGCUUAAUGACCUUAAUAGCAAUUUAUGACAUACACUAAUCUACAGUUGUCCCAAAAAGAGAAUUAAAGAAUUCACAACUUAAAUCAAAAAUACAAACUUCAAUAUUAUAUAAUAUCUUUAAUUGAUACUAAUAUAAUAAAAGUACAUCAUCCAUUUAUACUUAAACUCGACGUGUUCUCAUAUUCUAAAAACAAUCAAUAAUAGCAUCAUUGCUUACAUUUGCAAAUAUUUCUUUUUCAAAGUAACAAACUAAACAAUCAUUUAAAAAUGCAUCACCAAUGCUACUACGCAAUUCAUCCUUGAUGUACUUCAUGGAUGAGAAUACUCUUUCUACCGUUGCAGUCGCGACAGGUAAAAUUAAAGUCAACUUCACAAGUAAAUAAACAAUUGAAUAUAUCUCCACAAGAUUUGCUUCAACUAACGUUUUUGUUAAACCACCAAUUCUAUUCAAAUUCGAGAAUCUAGAGUUACCAUGUUUCAUGUGCAAUAUGAAAGUGUCAAGUUGGUGACUAAGAUCUCGAAGCUUCAAUUCACCAAUCUUAUCUUGAUAAUACUUGGCCAAUGUCAUUAUUUUUUUCUUAUUAAAAUUAGCAAACGAAUUAGCCAGAUUCAAGCUAGCCAUACCAGGAAGCAAGUUAGCAUUAAUAACAUCAAAACGACUGUUAAGCUCAUGAAAUACAAAUCAAUCACUAUAUAAAAAUGCUUAACAUGUAAAUGAUGUGAAUAAGUAACACUAGAAGGCCUACGCUUCGACUUUCCAGGAAUAUAAAACUCCUCUAUAUUGGGCACCAAAAUAUCAUGUUUAGCACUAAACAAAGAGACUUCAUCCAUUAAUGAUUUUCGUCCUUCAUCUCUUAUUUGUUGCAACAUUUCCUUUGCUGCUGACUCUUUGGUGAAGUCAUUUUUUAACAUUACAAUCAAAAUCAUAUAAUAUAAUAAAAAUAUUUCAUUUUGCGUAUAUAUUUACCUACAGAUAACUGAAUAGAUGCUAAUUAACCUAAUAUUAUUCGAAAAGCAGAAUGAUGAUAUAAAAUUAGGGGAAAUACGGAAAAAAUUAUAGAAUAAAGGAAAACUAUUUAUCAAACAACAAUCAUUUGAAGAGGAGCAAGCUUAAAAGAUAUGUUGCUCAGGCAGAACAAAGGAGAAGAAACCGCAGCCAAGUUAAUUUAAAUAAUUUAAUUAUAUUUUAAUACUUGAUAUAAUUAAUCUCUCAUUUCCAAAGGUUAAUAAAAACGAAGAUUUUUUGUAUUAAAACACAAUCAAACUCAAGUCCCUCUAAAAAAUUAUUCAACUAAAAAGAAAAUCAACAUCAAAUUUCAAAGUAAGAGAAAUUUUAAGUUAUAAAUAAAAAAUAAGUUUAAAAGUAAGAGAAGCACUAACAAACGAUUGAGGAUGAAGGGUUAAACCGAAGAAGUGAAGAAGAAGAAUCGGAGAAAGCGAACUGCUGAAGUGAAGAAAAAGAACUGGUGGCCGUUUGGGGCUUUUGAUGUUUGGGAAUUGGGGCUUUUGAUGUUUGAGCCUCUUGACUAUUAUUUAACUAUUAAAAAUUUUAAAUAUAAUCGACUUGAGAAUAGGUGAAAUAAAAAAUUAUCAAUUAGUCA